GUUGUAUAGUCAAGUAAUUAAGUGCAUGUGGUGGAUGCCUUGGCAGUCAGAGGCGAUGAAAGACGUGAUAGCCUGCGAAAAGCUCCGGGGAGGCGGCAAAUAUCCUUUGAUCCGGAGAUGUCUGAAUGGGGGAACCCACCUACUUUAAGGUAGGUAUUGCAACAUGAAUACAUAGUGUUGCAAGGCGAACGAGGGGAAGUGAAACAUCUCAGUACCCUUAGGAAAAGAAAUCAAUUGAGAUUCCCUCAGUAGCGGCGAGCGAACGGGGAUCAGCCCAUUAAGUUAUGUGUGUUUUAGUGGAACGCUCUGGGAAGUGCGAACGUAGAGGGUGAUAUUCCCGUACACGAAAGGGCACACAUAAUGAUGACGAGUAGGGCGAGGCACGUGAAACCUUGUCUGAAUAUGGGGGGACCAUCCUCCAAGGCUAAAUACUCCUGACUGACCGAUAGUGAACCAGUACCGUGAGGGAAAGGCGAAAAGAACCCCUGUGAGGGGAGUGAAAUAGAUCCUGAAACCGCAUGCAUACAAGCAGUGGGAGCACCUUCGUGGUGUGACUGCGUACCUUUUGUAUAAUGGGUCAGCGACUUAUAUUCAGUAGC
rnacentral:rRNA from 1 species